CCUACGGGAGGCAGCAGUGGGGAAUUUUGGACAAUGGGCGCAAGCCUGAUCCAGCAAUGCCGCGUGAGUGAAGAAGGCCUUCGGGUUGUAAAGCUCUUUUGUCAGGGAAGAAACGGUCUACUCUAAUACAGUGGGCUAAUGACGGUACCUGAAGAAUAAGCACCGGCUAACUACGUGCCAGCAGCCGCGGUAAUACGUAGGGUGCAAGCGUUAAUCGGAAUUACUGGGCGUAAAGCGUGCGCAGGCGGUUAUAUAAGUCAGAUGUGAAAUCCCCGGGCUCAACCUGGGAACUGCAUUUGAGACUGUAUGGCUAGAGUGUGUCAGAGGGGGGUAGAAUUCCACGUGUAGCAGUGAAAUGCGUAGAUAUGUGGAGGAAUACCGAUGGCGAAGGCAGCCCCCUGGGAUAACACUGACGCUCAUGCACGAAAGCGUGGGGAGCAAACAGGAUUAGAUACCCUGGUAGUCCACGCCCUAAACGAUGUCUACUAGUUGUCGGGACUUAAUUGUCUUGUACGACGAGCUACGCGUGAGUAGACCGCCGUCGGGAGGUACGGUCGCGAGAAGUAAACGUACGAAGAAGUUAGACGGCGUGAGACGUAGACGACGGACGACGACGAGGGAGGAGG
rnacentral:rRNA from 1 species